GAGGGGUUGACCUUUUCUUCCUUAUGUCUCAACUAUUCAUCCUCAGAGGUGAGGGUGCAAAAUGUUACAUGCUCUUCUCUUGUCAAUCUUUUCUUGAUUCCUGAUAAUGAGUGGAUGACAAGAGAAUGUAACUCCAUGGAGUGAGUGCUUCGAUUGUAGUUCAUAUUUUGUGGCACCCUUCUUUCUUCUUGGCUACAAGUGAGUUGUGUCUCUCUUCAUCUCUAGUGUGAG
rnacentral:lncRNA from 1 species